UACGGAGGGUGCGAGCGUUGUCCGGAAUCACUGGGCGUAAAGGGCGCGUAGGCGGCCUGAUAAGUAGGGGGUGAAAUCCUGCGGCUUAACCGCAGGGCUGCCUUCUAAACUGUCAGGCUCGAGCACAGUAGAGGCAGGUGGAAUUCCCGGUGUAGCGGUGGAAUGCGUAGAGAUCGGGAAGAACAUCAGUGGACGAAGGCGGCCUGCUGGGCUGUUGCUGACGCUGAGGCGCGACAGCGGUGGGGAGCAAACAG
rnacentral:rRNA from 1 species